CGACUGCAAAUGGAGUUAAGUAGGAAGGAAGAUGAGGAUUCUGAUGAUGCAGUGAAGGAUUUGAGAAGGGUAAUUGCAACAUUAGAGAAGGAGAACACCAACCUUAAGAUAGCCAAGAAUGAACUCGAGGCUGCCAUGGAAAUNNNNNNNAGGUUCACCUCAAAAAACCUUCCCAGAUGGGAAGGUAGGUUCUUCUGGAAAUUUUCUCAGUAGGGAAGAAAUGGAGCUGUUAUUGCAAAAACUGGAGAAAGAUUUAAACGACAUGCGCCGUGAAAGGGAUAAAGCAGUGCAAGAAUUGACUCGUCUUAAGCAGCAUUUAUUAGAAAAGGAAUCUGAAGAAUCAGAGAAAAUGGAUGAGGACUUUAAGAUCAUUGAAGAACUUCGUGAGAAUAAUGAAUAUCAAAAGGC
rnacentral:misc_RNA from 1 species